rnacentral:lncRNA from 1 species
CAAAUAGUCUGCAUUGCUUUUAAUAUUCUUCUAACAUUUCCCAUCAGCACUCUGAUGAAAAGAAUCUCACGAAAAAGGAUUAGUAAGCAAUGGACAUGAAGCGAGACAAUUGGAGGCAGCAUGAAGGCUAAAUCCAAAGGAUCCAAAAGGUGCAGCUGAAGAAAGAAAAAAGUUGGGAACCACCAGGUAUAAUAUUUUUAUUGUUAAAAAACCCUGAAAUUAUAAGGAUUAAGUAAUCAUUUUUUU